AAGCGGAUUUUUUGUAAUCGUACAGUUAUGGUGUUAUUCAUUCAUUAAUGUGUCCUUUCUUACCUUAAAUAACUUAUUUUUUACACCUUUUGUUUUUAUUGUCUAUAUAGUAUUGUCUACAAUCCCAAAUUCUGGAUUGACGAUCCAGUACCAGUGGGCACCCCAAUCCCAGAGAGCAUCCAUCUGAAACCAGGUGAGGUAACACCACGAAAAAAUUACCGGAUGGAGACUACCUGAUUCUUCACCUAUGGCCUCAGCUUCAAAUGCAAGAAGUCCAGCAACUGUCUGAGUUGGUGGAUAUUCUGUCAGAGACUGCGUGAACAACGUUAUGAAUAGAAUGAUGUCAAAUUGUCUUAUGGCAAAGUUCAAUAUGAAGGGUGGUGGACAUCUGGAAAAUAAGUCUUUUAAAGGCACACCUUUGUAUUAUGUUAUUCAAGAUGCUGUAAAGAGGUGGAGCCCAAAUGCCACAGACUCGGAAAUAGAUGCAGCUAUGGCAGACCACCUCAAGCACGCUCCAGGAAGAGCUGGGGGUGGUGGAUACAAAAAAGCCAAACAGCUGUGAUGUGUUAAAGAGAGAGUUCACCAAAAAAGGAAAAUUGUUAUAAUUUUCUUAUCCACAUGUUUCAAACCUGUAUACGUUUCUAUUUUCUGCUGAACACAAAGAUUGAAGAAUGUUUGUAACUUCACAACCCAUUAACUGUCAAUAUUUUUUUUUUUUUUACAAUUGUAGUAAUGGGUUGUGAGAUCUGCUUUGUUAAAAACAUUCUUUCAAAUAUCUUUGUGUUCAGCAGAACAUAGAAAGGUAUACAGGUUUGAAACAUGAGAGUGGAUAAAUGACUAAAUAUUAAUUUUUGGGUGAACUAUCCCUUUAUAGAAAGUGUUUUGAAAUUGUUAUUAUAGUUAAAUGGUUAAAAAAUAAAAAGUGCUAAAUCAGAACAUGCUUCUUUUUUGGUUAUGGCCACAAAUAAUGUGUUCUUUAAUGUGUUUGUGAAGUACACGUGGUUAAAACGUUUAAUGGACGUUCAGGUCUGACUGGACCAAUUUUGAACCGAUUUUGAACCUUUGUGAAUAU